rnacentral:rRNA from 1 species
GACAGAGGGUGCGAACGUUGCUCGGAAUUACUGGGCGUAAAGCGCGUGUAGGCGGGUGAUCAAGUCAGGUGUGAAAUCCCCAGGCUCAACCUGGGAACUGCACUUGAAACUGGUCGCCUUGAGUGUUGGAGAGGGAAGCGGAAUUCCUGGUGUAGAGGUGAAAUUCGUAGAUAUCAGGAGGAACACCGGUGGCGAAGACGGCUUCCUGGACAAUUACUGACGCUGAGACGCGAAAGCGUGGGGAGCAAACAGG